GUACCGUGAGGGAAAGGCGAAAAGAACCCCGGCGAGGGGAGUGAAAAAGAACCUGAAACCGUGUACGUACAAGCAGUGGGAGCACAGAGCAAUCUGUGUGACUGCGUACCUUUUGUAUAAUGGGUCAGCGACUUAUAUUCUGUAGCAAGGUUAACCGAAUAGGGGAGCCGAAGGGAAACCGAGUCUUAACUGGGCGUUAAGUUGCAGGGUAUAGACCCGAAACCCGGUGAUCUAGCCAUGGGCAGGUUGAAGGUUGGGUAACACUAACUGGAGGACCGAACCGACUAAUGUUGAAAAAUUAGCGGAUGACUUGUGGCUGGGGGUGAAAGGCCAAUCAAACCGGGAGAUAGCUGGUUCUCCCCGAAAGCUAUUUAGGUAGCGCCUCGUGAAUUCAUCUCCGGGGGUAGAGCACUGUUUCGGCAAGGGGGUCAUCCCGACUUACCAACCCGAUGCAAACUGCGAAUACCGGAGAAUGUUAUCACGGGAGACACACGGCGGGUGCUAACGUCCGUCGUGAAGAGGGAAACAACCCAGACCGCCAGCUAAGGUCCCAAAGUCAUGGUUAAGUGGGAAACGAUGUGGGAAGGCCCAGACAGCCAGGAUGUUGGCUUAGAAGCAGCCAUCAUUUAAAGAAAGCGUAAUAG
rnacentral:rRNA from 1 species